rnacentral:rRNA from 1 species
UGCGUAGGCGGCAACGUAAGUCAGGAGUGAAAGCUCUCCGCUAAACGGAGGAAUUGCUUUUGAUACUGCGUAGCUUGAAUGGGGAUGAGGUUAGCGGAAUGUGGCAUGUAGCGGUGAAAUGCAUAGAUAUGCCAUAGAACACCAAUUGCGAAGGCAGCUAACUAGACCUACAUUGACGCUGAGGCACGAAAGCGUGGGGAGCGAACAGGAUUAGAUACCCUGGUAGUCC